rnacentral:rRNA from 1 species
UACGUAGGUGGCGAGCGUUGUCCGGAUUUACUGGGCGUAAAGAGCGCGCAGGCGGUCGUCCAAGUCGCGUGUGAAAGCCCCCGGCUCAACUGGGGAGGGUCACGCGAUACUGAUCGACUCGAAGGCAGGAGAAGGAAGCGGAAUUCCCGGUGUAGUGGUGAAAUGCGUAGAUAUCGGGAGGAACACCAGUGGCGAAGGCGGCUUCCUGGCCUGUUCUUGACGCUGAGGCGCGAAAGCUAGGGUAGCAAACGGG